rnacentral:misc_RNA from 1 species
UCCCCGUUGGCCGGGGCAGUCUCGUCUGAAAAAUACAACAGACGACAAGGGUUGCGCUCGUUGCGGGACUUAACCCAACAUCUCACGACACGAGCUGACGACGGCCAUGCAGCACCUGUCACCAGGCUCCCGAAGGCACGGCUCUGUCUCCAAAGCCUUCCUGGGAUGUCAAGGGUCGGUAAGGUUCUACGCUUAGCAUCGAAUUAAACCACAUGCUCCACCGCUUGUGCGGGUCCCCGUCAAUUCCUUUGAGUUUUAAGCUUGCGCUCGUACUCCCCAGGCGGCAGGCUUAACGCGUUAGCUUCUCAGCCCAAGGGGUCGAUACCUCGAACUAAUAGCCUGCAUCGUUUACGGCGUGGACUAC